AUAUCUCCAACGAUUGACC
rnacentral:rRNA from 1 species